UUUAAUGGGGCGCUGACACAUGAGUAAUGUUAGCCUCUCUCUUCCAUUCUCUCUCUCUUCACAGACCUUCCUCUCUCUCUUCACGGACCUACCUCUCUCUAUGUUCAGCAGUAGCGAUGAACACGAUGCAGCAGUAGCGAUGGCAGUGAUGCAGCAGCCAUUGAAGCCCCUGGGCUUGGGCAUCACCUCUCUCUUUAUCAGUCAUUGAAGCCCUCUCAGCCCACAAAGAGGAUGUACACCUCUCUCUCUGUAGCUGCAACAGCAGCGCAUCCCUUUCUCUCUGUCUAUAUGCAGCCAUUGAAGCCCUUGAGUUUGGGCAUCUCUCUCUUAUUAGUAACUAUUGCAGCCCUUUUAGCCUACACAGAAAUAGAAGCCCUCUCGUCCCUCACCAUCAGCAACUAUUGAAGUCCUCUCGCUCGUUCAGAAAAACCCUACCUAGCCUCCCAAUUGUGGCACACCCCAUCUCUAAAGUGCUAAGGACAAAACACGUAAUAAGCUUCGGACCCAUAAGAAGGCAGCAGAUGUGAGUUGAUGGCAAAGAGGACAAAUUCAUAUGGAACAACUUCAAAGGAGGGGCUAUGUUGCUUCUUUUUUUAAAAAAAAAAAAAUUUGUUGUUAAACUAUUGGCAUUCUUGAUGUAGGUUUUAAGCCAUUCACUCAAAAAAAAGAUAUCGGUUAUAUGGCAUUGUACUCUUUUCACUUCUUUUUGGGUUGUUAGGUGAUAUGUAAGGUGAUUGGGUACAAGGAACGAACUAUUAUUUGAUAAUGGGCAGGACUACUGAACUUUAUAUGAACAAUUUUGUUAUUGAAUGGACUACCCCAUUUGGCUGGUAGUUGAUGAAUUGUAUGUAACAUUAUAGUUAUCAAAUGCAAUGUAUUAUCACAAU